rnacentral:rRNA from 1 species
AGGGUUUGAUUCUGGCUCAGAACGAACGCUGGCGGCAGGCCUAACACAUGCAAGCCGAGCGCGCCUUCGGGCGAGCGGCGGACGGGUUAGUAACGCGUGGGAACGUGCCCAGAUCUACGGAAUAGCCACUGGAAACGGUGAGUAAUACCGUAUACGCCCUUCGGGGGAAAGAUUUAUCGGAUUUGGAUCGGCCCGCGUUAGAUUAGGUAGUUGGUGGGGUAACGGCCUACCAAGCCUACGAUCUAUAGCUGGUUUUAGAGGAUGAUCAGCAACACUGGGACUGAGACACGGCCCAGACUCCUACGGGAGGCAGCAGUGGGGAAUCUUGGACAAUGGGGGCAACCCUGAUCCAGCCAUGCCGCGUGAGUGAAGAAGGCCCUAGGGUCGUAAAACUCUUUCGCCUGUGAUGAUAAUGACAGUAGCAGGUAAAGAAACCCCGGCUAACUCCGUGCCAGCCGCCGCGGUAAUUC